rnacentral:rRNA from 1 species
UGCUUAACACAUGCAAGUCGAACGGCAGCACGGUACGUAGCAAUACGUAUGGGUGGCGAGUGGCGGACGGGUGAGAAACGCGUAGGAAUCUGCCCUAGAGAGGGGGACAACCCGAGGAAACUCGGGCUAAUACCGCAUAAACUCGAAAGAGAAAAGGCUGGGUGGCAACACCUGGCGCUUUAGGAGGAGCCUGCGUCCGAUUAGCUAGUUGGUAGGGUAAAAGCCUACCAAGGCGAUGAUCGGUAGCUGGUCUGAGAGGAUGAUCAGCCACACUGGGACUGAGACACGGCCCAGACUCCUACGGGAGGCAGCAGUGGGGAAUAUUGGACAAUGGGGGCAACCCUGAUCCAGCAAUGCCGCGUGUGUGAAGAAGGCCUUCGGGUUGUAAAGCAC